GGGGAAUAUUAUGACGCUGUAGGGGGCUAUUGGGAAAGCUAUAUGGUUCUAUGGGGAGGCUAUAGGAGCUUUAUAGGUGGUUAUGGGGCUAUAGAGAGCUGUGGGUGGUCUGUCGGCGGGUUGUAGUAGGGUAGGAGGCUAUAGGGGGCUGUGGAGGGGAUAUAGGGAGAUAUGGGGCAAUAGUGGGUUUUUAAGGGGUUGUGGCGGGCUGUGGGAGUGUAUAGGAUGAUAGGGGGCCGGGGAGGAUUUCUAGAGAGGGAUAUUAUGCUGGAGAAGGUAUGGGAGGCUAAAAUGGGCCUUUGGGGGUUACAGAGGGGCUGUGGUGGGCUAUUUGGGGAUAUAGGGAGAUAUAAGGCUAUAGGGGGUGUUUGGAGGAUGUGGUCCUCUAAGGGGCUGUGUGGGUCCAUAGGAUGAUCUGGAGCUAUAGGGUGAUCUCUAAAG
rnacentral:lncRNA from 1 species